UACGUAGGUGGCAAGCGUUUGUCCGGAUUUACUGGGCGUAAAGAGCGCGCAGGCGGUCGUUCAAGUCGCGUGUGAAAGCCCCCGGCUCAACUGGGGAGGGUCACGCGUACUGAUCGACUCGAAGGCAGGAGAGGGUAGUGGAAUUCCCGGUGUAGUGGUGAAAUGCGUAGAUAUCGGGAGGAACACCGGUGGCGAAGGCGGUUCUCUGGGCCUUACCUGACGCUGAGGAGCGAAAGCGUGGGUAGCGAACAGG
rnacentral:rRNA from 1 species